ensembl:snRNA U7 U7 small nuclear RNA
AAGAGUUUCAUAAUAAUUUGUCUAGCAGGCUUUCUGGCUUUUACCAGAAAGCCCUG